GACGAACGCUGGCGGCGUGCUUAACACAUGCAAGUCGAGCGGUAAGGCCCUUUCGGGGGUACACGAGCGGCGAACGGGUGAGUAACACGUGGGUGACCUGCCCUCAGCUCUGGGAUAAGCCCGGGAAACUGGGUCUAAUACCGGAUAUGACUUCAUGACGCAUGUUGUGGAGUGGAAAGCCUUGUGCGGCUGAGGAUGGGCCCGCGGCCUAUCAGCUUGUUGGUGGGGUG
rnacentral:rRNA from 1 species